rnacentral:rRNA from 1 species
AACGAACGCUGGCGGUGCGUUUUAAGCAUGCAAGUUGAACGGUAAGGGGAGAGCUUGCCCUCCUCCUAGAGUGGCGGACUGGUGAGUAACGCGUGGAUGAUCUACCUUUGAGAUGGGGAUAGCUCUUAGAAAUAGGAGGUAAUACCGAAUAACCUUAAUAUGUUAUGACAUAAUAAGAAAAGGAGCGUCAGCUCCGCUUAAAGAUGAGUCUGCGUCCCAUUAGCUAGUUGGUAAGGUAAAGGCUUACCAAGGCGACGAUGGGUACCCGGCCUGAGAGGGUGAACGGGCACAUUGGGACUGAGAUACGGCCCACAACUCCUACGGGAGGCAGCAGCUGAGAAUCUUCCGCAAUGGACGAAAGUCUGACGGAGCGACACCGCGUGAACGAUGAAGGCCGGAAGGUUGUAAAGUUCUUUUGCAGACAAAGAAUAAGGAUAGAAGGAAAUGACUAUCUGAUGACGGUAGUUAUGCGAAUAAGCCCCGGCUAAUUACGUGCCAGCAGCCGCGGUAAUACGUAAGGGGCGAGCGUUGUUCGGAAUUAUUGGGCGUAAAGGGCAUGUAGGCGGUUAGGUAAGCCUGAUGUGAAAUGUAUGAGCUUAACUCAUAAACUGCAUUGGGUACUGCUUGACUUGAAUCACGGAGGGGAAACUGGAAUUCCAAGUGUAGGGGUGGAAUCUGUAAGAUAUUUGGAAGAACACCGGUGGCGAAGGCGGGUUUCUAGCCGAUGAUUGACGCUGAUGUGCGAAGGUGCGGGGAGCCAAACAGGAUUAGAUACCCUGGUAGUCCGCACAGUAAAACGAUGUACACUAGGUGUUGGGGUAAGACUCCAGUGCCCGGAGCAAACCGCGAAUAAAGUUGUACCCGCCCUGGGGGGAGUUAUUGCCCGUCGCCAAAGGGGUGAAAAACCUCC